GGAAAUGUCAACAUUCAGCUUCCAAAGCUCCUUUGUGAGUGCAUUGCUUCUUCCUUGUAUGAGUGAUGUGCUGGUCAGUCAAGUUUUGCUAUUCCACUUUGCAUUUGCAUUUAAAGCACUUUAGAAGCCUGGAAGAAAGGAAAAAGCAGCACAAAGAAGGCCUCUACCUGAGUGACACUCUGCCUCGAAAGAAAACCACCCCUUCCCUGUCCCCACACUUCAGCAGUGCCACAAUGGGGAGGAGCACCACCCCGAAGGUAGGACUCAGAAGGGCCAUGGCCUUCUCUUUCCGGAACAUCUUGCUAUAGUCGCCAACAAAAGGAAAGCCUUUGAAAUGCAAAGAUACUGAAUGCUAGGCUGUUGCAUUAGCUUGCUGGACAGAU
rnacentral:lncRNA from 1 species